rnacentral:ncRNA from 8 species
AAAUUGAAGAGUUUGAUCAUGGCUCAGAUUGAACGCUGGCGGCAGGCCUAACACAUGCAAGUCGAGCGGAAACGA